GAGCGCCGUAGCAAUACGGAGCGGCAGACGGGAGAGUAACACGUGGGAACGUGCCCUUCAGUUCGGAACAACCCAGGGAAACUUGGGCUAAUACCGGAUACGUCCGUAAGGAGAAAGAUUUAUCGCUGAAGGAUCGGCCCGCGUCUGAUUAGCUAGUUGGUGAGGUAACGGCUCACCAAGGCGACGAUCAGUAGCUGGUCUGAGAGGAUGAUCAGCCUCACUGGGACUGAGACACGGCCCAGACUCCUACGGGAGGCAGCAGUGGGGAAUAUUGGACAAUGGGCGCAAGCCUGAUCCAGCCAUGCCGCGUGGGUGAUGAAGGCCCUAGGGUUGUAAAGCCCUUUCGGCGGGGAAGAUAAUGACGGUACCCGCAGAAGAAGCCCCGGCUAACUUCGUG
rnacentral:rRNA from 1 species